AGACUACGAUAGGUAGGGGCCCUGAUAGGGGGAUCCCCCACACUGGUACUGAGACACGGACCAGACUCCUACGGGAGGCAGCAGUGAGGAAUAUUGGACAAUGGAGGAGACUCUGAUCCAGCCAUGCCGCGUGCAGGAAGAAUGCCCUAUGGGUAGUAAACUGCUUUUAUACGGGAAGAAAAAGGGGCACGUGUGCCCUGUUGACGGUACCGUAAGAAUAAGGACCGGCUAACUCCGUGCCAGCAGCCGCGGUAAUACGGAGGGUCCGAGCGUUAUCCGGAAUCAUUGGGUUUAAAGGGUCCG
rnacentral:rRNA from 1 species